CUUUGAAAAGUGCAAUUGAGAUUCCAGAAACAGGGGAUUCUUAGAAGCUUCUUCGUCAAGAUCCACGAGUGGAGAAGAUGGCAGCUCAGAGGGGUCUCUCCUCUUCUACCUUUAGUUUUCCUUAGUUCUAUAGAGAAAGAACUUCAGAUAGAUGCUCUGAGUUUGCCAAGGUUGAGGAGUCUGGGUUCCCUUCCCUGCUGAUGGCAAUGUCAAAGGUGAGGACAUAAUCCCUUCAGAUAGAUGCUCUGAGUUUGCCAAGGUUGAGGAGUCUGGGUUCCCUUCCCUGCUGAUGGCAAUGUCAAAGGUUAACUACAUUUAAAGGUGACAUUGAGACUCCAAUAGGGCUAAGUCUCUUUGGAGAAGAUAAGAUGGAAAUUGUUGGUACUUGGAUUAUAGAGUUUCAACAAUAUUUUUGCAAAUGGGCUCGCUUUAAUUUAAAACGUGGUAAAGCUGAUACGAUUUGUAUUGCACCUACAUGAGAUAAGUCACCAAAUUACAAACAGAAUAAAAGAAAAUUUUCACACAUGGACACGUUUGAAGAAUCAAAGAACGAUAUGGAUAUCAGGAUUUUUUUUUCACAGCCUUCGACAAUCAUUUUCUUGUACGGGUUUUCUGCCUCUUCACACCUAAUAUUGUUGUUAGUUUUAUCUAUAUCCUGGGUUUACAAGAGACACACAAUGCCUACCCUUGAAAAUUCAAAGCCAAUAUUGAAGAAUACACACUUUCUAUAUUAUUGGCUAGCUCUUAUAUCUUGCA